GACGAACGCUGGCGGCGUGCUUAACACAUGCAAGUCGAACGGUAAGGCCCUUCGGGGUACACGAGUGGCGAACGGGUGAGUAACACGUGGGUGAUCUGCCCUGCACUUCGGGAUAAGCCUGGGGAACUGGGUCUAAUACCGGAUAGGACCACUGCCUGCAUGGGUGGUGGUGGAAAGCUUUUGCGGUGUGGGAUGGGCCCGCGGCCUAUCAGCUUGUUGGUGGGGUGAUGGCCUACCAAGGCGACGACGGGUAGCCGGCCUGAGAGGGUGACCGGCCACACUGGGGCUGAGAUACGGCCCAGACUCCUACGGGAGGCAGCAGUGGGGAAUAUUGCACAAUGGGCGCAAGCCUGAUGCAGCGACGCCGCGUGAGGGAUGACGGCCUUCGGGUUGUAAACCUCUUUCAGCACCGACGAAGCGCAAGUGACGGUAGGUGCAGAAGAAGGACCGGCCAACUACGUGCCAGCCGCCGCCGUAAAAC
rnacentral:rRNA from 1 species